GACGAACGCUGGCGGCGUGCGUAACACAUGCAAGUCGAACGGAAAGGCCCUGCUUUUGUGGGGUGCUCGAGUGGCGAACGGGUGAGUAACACGUGAGUAACCUGCCCUUGACUUUGGGAUAACUUCAGGAAACUGGGGCUAAUACCGGAUAGGAGCUCCUGCUGCAUGGUGGGGGUUGGAAAGUUUCGGCGGUUGGGGAUGGACUCGCGGCUUAUCAGCUUGUUGGUGGGGUAGUGGCUUACCAAGGCUUUGACGGGUAGCCGGCCUGAGAGGGUGACCGGCCACAUUGGGACUGAGAUACGGCCCAGACUCCUACGGGAGGCAGCAGUGGGGAAUAUUGCACAAUGGGCGGAAGCCUGAUGCAGCAACGCCGCGUGCGGGAUGACGGCCUUCGGGUUGUAAACCGCUUUCGCCUGUGACGAAGCGUGAGUGACGGUAAUGGGUAAAGAAGCACCGGCUAACUACGUGCCAGCAGCCGCGGUGAUACGUAGGGUGCGAGCGUUGUCCGGAUUUAUUGGGCGUAAAGGGCUCGUAGGUGGUUGAUCGCGUCGGAAGUGUAAUCUUGGGGCUUAACCCUGAGCGUGCUUUCGAUACGGGUUGACUUGAGGAAGGUAGGGGAGAAUGGAAUUCCUGGUGGAGCGGUGGAAUGCGCAGAUAUCAGGAGGAACACCAGUGGCGAAGGCGGUUCUCUGGGCCUUUCCUGACGCUGAGGAGCGAAAGCGUGGGGAGCGAACAGGCUUAGAUACCCUGGUAGUCCACGCUGUAAACGGUGGGUACUAGGUGUGGGGUCCAUUCCACGGGUUCCGUGCCGUAGCUAACGCUUUAAGUACCCCGCCUGGGGAGUACGGCCGCAAGGCUAAAACUCAAAGGAAUUGACGGGGCCCCGCACAAGCGGCGGAGCAUGCGGAUUAAUUCGAUGCAACGCGUAGAACCUUACCCGGGUUUGACAUGGAUCGGGAGCGCUCAGAGAUGGGUGUGCCUCUUCUGGGGUCGGUUCACAGGUGGUGCAUGGCUGUCGUCAGCUCGUGUCGUGAGAUGUUGGGUUAAGUCCCGCAACGAGCGCAACCCUUGUUCACUGUUGCCAGCACGUUAUGGUGGGGACUCAGUGGAGACCGCCGGGGUCAACUCGGAGGAAGGUGGGGAUGACGUCAAGUCAUCAUGCCCCUUAUGUCCAGGGCUUCACGCAUGCUACAAUGGCUGGUACAGAGAGUGGCGAGCCUGUGAGGGUGAGCGAAUCUCGGAAAGCCGGUCUCAGUUCGGAUUGGGGUCUGCAACUCGACCUCAUGAAGUCGGAGUCGCUAGUAAUCGCAGAUCAGCAACGCUGCGGUGAAUACGUUCCCGGG
rnacentral:rRNA from 1 species